UCCGUAGGUGGCGAGCGUUGUCCGGAUUUACUGGGCGUAAAGGGCGUGCAGGCGGUUUGUUAAGUGCAGGGUGAAAGCUCCCGGCUCAACUGGGAGAGGUCCUUGCAUACUGGCGAACUCGAGGGAGGCAGAGGAAAGUGGAAUUCCCGGUGUAGUGGUGAAAUGCGUAGAUAUCCGGAGGAACACCAGUGGCGAAGGCGGCUUCCUGGACCGACACUGACGCUGAGGCGCGAAAGCUAGGGGAGCGAACAGG
rnacentral:rRNA from 1 species